rnacentral:rRNA from 1 species
GAUGAACGCUGACAGCAUGCUUAACACAUGCGAGUCUUUGGCGAAGCUGUGCUUGCACAGCCUAGCCAAGGCGGACGGGUGAGUAACGCGUAAGGAACUUGCCCUGCAGUCAGGGAUAACAGACGGAAACGACUGAUAAGACCUGGUAAAGUCAGGCGGACUCAUGUCCAGCCUGAUGAAAAGAGAUGCUGCAGGAGAGCCUUGCGUCCUAUUAGCUUGUUGGUGGGGUAACGGCCCACCAAGGCGAUGAUAGGUAGCCGGCCUGAGAGGGUGGACGGCCACAAGGGGACUGAGAUACGGCCCUUACUCCUACGGGAGGCAGCAGUGGGGAAUAUUGGACAAUGGGGGCAACCCUGAUCCAGCAAUUCUGUGUGCACGAUGAAGGUUUUCGGAUUGUAAAGUGCUUUCAGCAGGGAAGAAAAAAAUGACGGUACCUGCAGAAGAAGCGACGGCUAAAUACGUG